UACAGAGGUGGCGAGCGUUGUUCGGAUUUACUGGGCGUAAAGGGCGCGUAGGCCGCGCGGUAUGUCGGGUGUGAAAUCUCCGGGCCCAACCCGGAAAGUGCGCCCGAAACUGCCGCGCUCGAGUGCGGGAGGGGAGAUCGGAAUGCAGGGUGUAGCGGUGAAAUGCGUUGAUAUCCUGCAGAACACCGGUGGCGAAGGCGGAUCUCUGGAACGCAACUGACGCUGAGGCGCGAAAGUCGGGGGAGCAAACAGG
rnacentral:rRNA from 1 species